rnacentral:lncRNA from 1 species
UCCAAGAUCUGAAGCUAUCCCAAUCGACCAGAUCCAUUGAUGCAGUUAUGAAAGGGAUUCAAUUAGUCUCGAAGUUAAUUAGAACUAUUGGAGCAGGAUCUCCCAUGAGGCCUAAGGCGAUGUAUCCAGAGGUAUCAGCUAUGGGGAUGGUGAUUCUGUCUCUAAGGGCCUAAGAAAUGCGAAAUGGCUAAAUGAGGAAAGGAAAGUAAAGGCACGGGGAGGACAAUGAGGGUAGAGAGGUGUACCUCAGGGACUGCAGUAAGGGUGGCCAUGGAAUUUGUUUGACAUUUGAAGUGAUUAGAAAGCGAAUCACCACUGGUCGAUGGAGAUCUCCGAUGGUCGCCGGAAGUCGUCGAUGGUCGCCCUUCGCCCGAGAAUAAAGAGGAAGUAAGGUAUGGUGGUGCGAGAAGAUGAACUUGUGGGGAUGAAGAAGAUGAUGGCUGUAAAUUUAUAAACUCAUCCAAGAGGGUAAAUGCGGUAUCUCAUCUGCCACCUGCACGAAACUCGAAGAGCUGUUACCUCUAGACACUUUUUCAGGCAAUCAUGACUAAGGAGAUUUCGGAACAGAAAAUAUUUUUUUACUCAGUGAUUGGUAAAUAUCGGCAUUUUCCUAGGGAAGGUAAUCAUGGUUGAGAUAAUUUUGGAGCAAAAGAUAAAUUUUACUCCGAAACUGGGGGGCAU